rnacentral:rRNA from 1 species
CGGCGAGCGAAAAGAAAAUAGUUCAGCACUAAGUCACUUUGUCUUUAUGGCAAAUGUGAGAUGCAGUGUAUGGAAUGUCAAAUUUCUAGUAUGAGAAGUUAACGAUUUAAGUCCUUCUUAAAUGAGGCCAUUUACCCAAAGAGGGUGCCAGGCCCGUAUAACGUUAAUGAUUACUAGAUGGCAUUUCCAAAGAGUCGUGUUGCUUGAUAGUGCAGCACUAAGUGGGUGGUAAACUCCAUCUAAAACUAAAUAUAACCAUGAGACCGAUAGUAAACAAGUACCGUGAGGGAAAGUUGAAAAGAACUCUGAAUAGAGAGUUAAAUAGUACGUGAAACUGCUUAGAGGUUAAGCCCGAUGAACCUGAAUAUCCAUUAUGGAAAAUUCAUCAUUAUGAUUUUAAUAUUUAUAAUAUUAUAAUAAUGGUGUGCAUUUUUUCUAUAAAGGACAUUGUAAUCUAUUAACAUACAUUAAUUUAUCAUAAGAUCAUUUGCGUAUGUUUAUUCAAAUUAUUUUGCUUGCAAUUUAAUAUCGAAUAAAUGCUUUUGAUUUGAUAAAGUGUUGAUAGAUUUAUUAUAUACAGUGCUUAAAUAUUUAUAUUUUAUAAUAGCAUAUUAAUCAAUGAUUUUUAUGUUCAUUAUAUGCACUUGUAUGAUU